rnacentral:rRNA from 1 species
GACGAACGCUGGCGGCGUGCCUAAUACAUGCAAGUAGAACGCUGAAGAGAGGAGCUUGCUCUUCUUGGAUGAGUUGCGAACGGGUGAGUAACGCGUAGGUAACCUGCCUUGUAGCGGGGGAUAACUAUUGGAAACGAUAGCUAAUACCGCAUAACAAUGGAUGACACAUGUCAUUUAUUUGAAAGGGGCAAUUGCUCCACUACAAGAUGGACCUGCGUUGUAUUAGCUAGUAGGUGAGGUAACGGCUCACCUAGGCGACGAUACAUAGCCGACCUGAGAGGGUGAUCGGCCACACUGGGACUGAGACACGGCCCAGACUCCUACGGGAGGCAGCAGUAGGGAAUCUUCGGCAAUGGGGGCAACCCUGACCGAGCAACGCCGUGUGAGUGAAGAAGGUUUUCGGAUCGUAAAGCUCUGUUGUAAGUCAAGAACGAGUGUGAGAGUGGAAAGUUCACACUGUGACGGUAGCUUACCAGAAAGGGACGGCUAACUACGUGCCAGCAGCCGCGGUAAUACGUAGGUCCCGAGCGUUGUCCGGAUUUAUUGGGCGUAAAGCGAGCGCAGGCGGUUUGAUAAGUCUGAAGUUAAAGGCUGUGGCUCAACCAUAGUUCGCUUUGGAAACUGUCAAACUUGAGUGCAGAAGGGGAGAGUGGAAUUCCAUGUGUAGCGGUGAAAUGCGUAGAUAUAUGGAGGAACACCGGUGGCGAAAGCGGCUCUCUGGUCUGUAACUGACGCUGAGGCUCGAAAGCGUGGGGAGCGAACAGGAUUAGAUACCCUGGUAGUCCACGCCGUAAACGAUGAGUGCUAGGUGUUGGAUCCUUUCCGGGAUUCAGUGCCGCAGCUAACGCAUUAAGCACUCCGCCUGGGGAGUACGACCGCAAGGUUGAAACUCAAAGGAAUUGACGGGGGCCCGCACAAGCGGUGGAGCAUGUGGUUUAAUUCGAAGCAACGCGAAGAACCUUACCAGGUCUUGACAUCCCGAUGCUAUUUCUAGAGAUAGAAAGUUACUUCGGUACAUCGGUGACAGGUGGUGCAUGGUUGUCGUCAGCUCGUGUCGUGAGAUGUUGGGUUAAGUCCCGCAACGAGCGCAACCCCUAUCGUUAGUUGCCAUCAUUCAGUUGGGCACUCUAGCGAGACUGCCGGUAAUAAACCGGAGGAAGGUGGGGAUGACGUCAAAUCAUCAUGCCCCUUAUGACCUGGGCUACACACGUGCUACAAUGGUUGGUACAACGAGUUGCGAGUCGGUGACGGCAAGCUAAUCUCUUAAAGCCAAUCUCAGUUCGGAUUGUAGGCUGCAACUCGCCUACAUGAAGUCGGAAUCGCUAGUAAUCGUGGAUCAGCACGCCGCGGUGAAUACGUUCCCGGGCCU